GGGGUUGUGGCUCAGAGGUAGAGUGCUCGCCUAGCAUGCGUGAGGCACUGGGUUUGAUCCUCAGCACCA
rfam:Ictidomys tridecemlineatus contig092941, whole genome shotgun sequence.